AUUGAACGCUGGCGGCAGGCCUAACACAUGCAAGUCGAGCGAGUGGCGGACGGGUGAGUAAUGUAUGGGGACUGCCCGCUAGAGGGGGAAAAACACUGGAAACGGUAGCUUAUACCGCCUAUUAUCGGAUAACCCAUAUGGGAUGGGCUAGUAGGUGAGUUAAUGGCUCACCUAGGCGACGAUCCCUAGCUGGUCUGAGAGGAUGAUCAGCCAAACUGGGACUGAGACACGGCCCAGACUCCUACGGAGGCAGCAGUGGGGAAUAUUGCACAAUGGGCGAAAGCCUGAUGCAGCCAUGCCGCGUGGAUGAAGAAGGCCCUAGGGUUGUAAAGUACUUUCAGUCGGGAGGCGUUACCGACAGAAGAAGCACCGGCUAACUCCGUGCCAGCAGCCGCGGUAAUAC
rnacentral:rRNA from 1 species